UACGUAGGGUGCAAGCGUUAAUCGGAAUUACUGGGCGUAAAGCGUGCGCAGGCGGUUCGCUAAGACCGAUGUGAAAUCCCCGGGCUUAACCUGGGAACUGCAUUGGUGACUGGCGGGCUAGAGUAUGGCAGAGGGGGGUAGAAUUCCACGGUGUAGCAGUGAAAUGCGUAGAGAUGUGGAGGAAUACCGAUGGCGAAGGCAGCCCCCUGGGCCAAUACUGACGCUCAUGCACGAAAGCGUGGGGAGCAAACAGG
rnacentral:rRNA from 1 species